rnacentral:RNase_P_RNA from 1 species
GGAGUGGGCCGGACGGCCGCGCGUUUCCUUGUGAGGCGUGAGGAAAGUCCGGACUCCAUUGGGCAGGGUGCCUGCUAACGGCAGGGCGGCGUGAGCCGACGGAUCAGUGCCACAGAAAAGAAGACUCCCCCGCGCAAGCGGGAGAAAAGCUGAAACGGUGCGGUAAGAGCGCACCAGCGUCACGGUAACGUGGCGGCUUGGCAAACCCCACCCGGAGCAAGAGCAAAUAGGAGCGGUUAAGGCUGGCCCGGCCGGCGCUCGGGUAUGCUCGCGUGAGGCCGUCGGCGACGGCGGUCCCAGAUAGAUGGUCGUCUACUACAGAAUCCGGCUUACAGGCCCACUCCACCG